CGAAACCAGGUGAUCUACCCAUGUCCAGGAUGAAGGUAAGGUAAUACUUACUGGAGGUCCGAACCCACGCACGUUGAAAAGUGCGGGGAUGAGGUGUGGGUAGCGGAGAAAUUCCAAUCGAACUUGGAGAUAGCUGGUUCUCUCCGAAAUAGCUUUAGGGCUAGCCUCGAGGUAAAGAGUCAUGGAGGUAGAGCACUGUUUGGACUAGGGGCCCUUCUCGGGUUACCGAAUUCAGAUAAACUCCGAAUGCCAUGUACUUAUACUCGGGAGUCAGACUGCGAGUGAUAAGAUCCGUAGUCGAAAGGGAAACAGCCCAGACCACCAGUUAAGGUCCCCAAAUAUAUGUUAAGUGGAAAAGGAUGUGGGGUUGCUUAGACAACCAGGAUGUUGGCUUAGAAGCAGCCACCAUUGAAAGAGUGCGUAAUAGCUCACUGGUCGAGUGACCCCGCGCCGAAAAUGUACCGGGGCUAAACAUAUUACCGAAACUGUGGAUGAACCUCUUCGGAGGUUCGUGGUAGGAGAGCGUUCUAAGGGCGGUGAAGUCAGACCGGAAGGACUGGUGGAGCGCUUAGAAGUGAGAAUGCCGGUAUGAGUAGCGAAAGAAGGGUGAGAAUCCCUUCCACCGAAUAUCUAAGGUUUCCUGAGGAAGGCUCGUCCGCUCAGGGUUAGUCGGGACCUAAGCCGAGGCCGAUAGGCGUAGGCGAUGGACAACAGGUAGAGAUUCCUGUACCAGUGCUAAUUGUUUAACCGAUGGGGUGACACAGAAGGAUAGGGAAUCGCACGAAUGGAAAUGUGCGUCCAAGCAGUGAGUGUGA
rnacentral:rRNA from 2 species